rnacentral:rRNA from 1 species
CAUCCGCCCGGGUAUUACGAGCACAGCUUAAACCCAAGGACUUGGCGGUGCUUCAGAUCCGCCUAGAGGAGCCUGUUCUAGAACCGAUACCCCCCGUUAACCUCUCCACCCCUUGUCAAUACCGUCUAUAUACCGCCGUCGUCAGCUCACCCUGUAAGGGAACAAAAGAAAGCAAGAAGGAUGCUCUCCAAAACGUCAGGUCGAGGUGUAGUGUAUGGGGUGGCAAGAAAUGGGCUACAUUUUCUAGACAUAGAAUACACGAACAGCAUUAAUGAAACAUUAAGCUUAAAGGAGGAUUUAGUAGUAAAAGAAAACAGAG